rnacentral:rRNA from 1 species
CGGCGGACGGGUGAGUAACACGUGGGUAACCUGCCUGUAAGACUGGGAUAACUCCGGGAAACCGGGGCUAAUACCGGAUGGUUGUCUGAACCGCAUGGUUCAGACAUAAAAGGUGGCUUCGGCUACCACUUACAGAUGGACCCGCGGCGCAUUAGCUAGUUGGUGAGGUAACGGCUCACCAAGGCGACGAUGCGUAGCCGACCUGAGAGGGUGAUCGGCCACACUGGGACUGAGACACGGCCCAGACUCCUACGGGAGGCAGCAGUAGGGAAUCUUCCGCAAUGGACGAAAGUCUGACGGAGCAACGCCGCGUGAGUGAUGAAGGUUUUCGGAUCGUAAAGCUCUGUUGUUAGGGAAGAACAAGUGCCGUUCAAAUAGGGCGGCACCUUGACGGUACCUAACCAGAAAGCCACGGCUAACUACGUGCCAGCAGCCGCGGUAAUACGUAGGUGGCAAGCGUUGUCCGGAAUUAUUGGGCGUAAAGGGCUCGCAGGCGGUUUCUUAAGUCUGAUGUGAAAGCCCCCGGCUCAACCGGGGAGGGUCAUUGGAAACUGGGGAACUUGAGUGCAGAAGAGGAGAGUGGAAUUCCACGUGUAGCGGUGAAAUGCGUAGAGAUGUGGAGGAACACCAGUGGCGAAGGCGACUCUCUGGUCUGUAACUGACGCUGAGGAGCGAAAGCGUGGGGAGCGAACAGGAUUAGAUACCCUGGUAGUCCACGCCGUAAACGAUGAGUGCUAAGUGUUAGGGGGUUUCCGCCCCUUAGUGCUGCAGCUAACGCAUUAAGCACUCCGCCUGGGGAGUACGGUCGCAAGACUGAAACUCAA